CUCCAGCCUGGGGUUCCUGGCCCCGGAAGUCGCCAGGGCAGCCUCCAGGGUGGGCCGGGCUGGGCCCGGCGGGGCGCUCCGAGUGCUGCGGCGCGGCGCGGCGGCGGCGGCGGCGGCUUGUGGACCAGCCUGUCGCCAGCCCUUCUCCAGGGCCUUUUCGCAGCUGCACAAUUGACAACUUUUGCUCCGACCUGGCGCGUGGGGCAGCGAGCAGCGGCUACAAAGGUAGCAAACCCCGGGCCUGGACGGCGAAAAAGAGGGACUUGAAAGCAUUGAGCUGUGGAGACAGCGUCUUGCAAUAGGAAGGAACCUCAUUAUCCUGUUGGGACAAGAGAACGGCUAGUCGUCUUCCAAAGUUCCUCUUGCCCUAUUACUCCGUCCCGAAAAUUGGAGGCGUAAACGUGGCUAACAGGUGCUGGACAAGUACAGGCACACCUGGAGUGAAAGUGACAGAGAUGGUGGUGGCUAAGAAGCACAUUACUAAUCUGUGAUUGUAAUUGUGUUAGGUUGGGAAGCACCGGGAAAGAGUUCACGGGAUCCUCCCAUGUGACUCGCAUGCUAAGCAGGUGUGGAAGACCAGAGCCUCAGCAUGCAUUUGAGCAUGUGGCUCACCUCCGUCUGCUCUAGUCCACAGCUGGUAGUUUGCUGCAUAGCUGAGCUGAAAGGCACAACGGUCGUGUAAAUAACUCACUUCCAUAUGAAUCAAGUUAUUUGUUUUUUGUUUUUAAGUUGUUUGUAGGGCCUGGAGAGAUGAGUUAGUGGCUAGGAACACUUGCUGCUAGGUUUAGAUUCCUAGCACCUAUGUGACAGGUCACAAACAGUCUGUAAUUCCAGGUCCAAGGGAUGCUACCUCUUCUGGCCUCCAAGGACAUCAGGAAUGCAUAUGGUGCACAGACAUGCGUACAUACAGGCAUAACACCCAUACAUGUUUAAAAAACAAAAUGUAUUAAAAUAGUUUUUUAUUUAUUUGAACUGGUUUAUAGAGUUAGUCAAAUGUGCCCAAGAUUAAUGUUUUCAGAGAUAGGUUUCUAUGGCAGGUGUUGCAAUUUUGUGUCAUCUAAAAAAAAGAGCUGCACUAGUCGGCACAUGUCUAGAAUCCUAGUUCUCAGGAGGCAAAAGGCUCAGGAAUUCAAAGUAAAUCUGGACUGCAUAGCAAAGCUGUAUCUAAAAAUAAGUAGAACAUAAAAAUAAUAAUUUUCAGUCGGGUCGCGGUGGCUCACACCUUUAAUCCCAGCACUCUGGAGGCAGAGACAGAUCCCUGUGAGUUUGAGACCAGCCUGAUUACUGAGAGAGUUCCAGGACAGGCUCCAAAGCUACAGAGAAACCCUAUCUCAAAAAACCAAAAUAAUAAUAAUAAUUUUCAAGUAAGAUGGACUUGCACUGUGGUGUGGUUUUAGACACAGGAGUUGCAAUCCUUUUCACUAAGGAUAUUAAAGGACUCUGACACUUCUCGUGGAGAGAUUCAGCCUCUAAAGAAAAUAAAAUGUGUAAUUAUUUGCCAGGUAUUGUGCAAAUUGCCCUCUAUACAUUAUGAAUUUGUGUCCUGUGGAAGUACAUUCCUGUACAAACAGGCAUGAAAACACUUGUAUAUUUUAGUCUUAUCUGUAAUAUGGGGGAAACUCCAACUAAGUAGUUACAAAUUUGAAAAUGGCUAAAUAAGCUUGUGUGUGUGUGUGUGUGUGUGUGUACACGUGUGCAUGCAUGCAUAGUCACUUUUGUGGGCACAGGUAUUUGCAUACAUGUGGACACGACACUGAUGUUAGAAAUCUUCCUCCUUCACUCUCCUGUCCUAGUCUUCAAUUUAGAGUCUCUCGAUUGAACCCAGAGCUCACCAAUAGAGCUAGUUUGGCAAAGCAGCUUGCUCCAGAGAUCUCUCUUCUCUUCCUUCUCAGGCUGAAUUACAGGAGUGCUGCGGUACCUGCCCAGCAUUUACAUAGGUUCUGGUGAUCUGAACUCAAUAGAGUUCUCUUGCUGUCAUAGCAAUCUAACCAUCUCCCCACCCUAAAUUAAAAACUAUUAGUGUUUAACUAUGCUGUUGUUUUUAAAGGUUGGAAGAGGUAUUGCUAUUAGUAUUCUCCUAGCUCCUAUGACUGCUUUGCAAAUUACUCCCACAGUUAUUCACUAUAAAAUAAUCAUUUGUUGUGUGCUCUGGCUAGCCUUAUGUCAACUUGACAUAAGCUAGAGUUAUCUGAAAGGAAGGAACUUCAAUUGAGAAAAUGCUUCUAUUAGAUGAGGCUGUAUGCAAGCCUGUAGAAGGGCAUUUCCUUAAUUAGGUUUUGAUGGGGGAGGGCCCAGCCCAUUGUGAAUGGUGCCAUCCCUGGGAUGGUCAGGGUUCUGUUAAAAAAAAAAAAAAAGGCCAAGCAAGCUAUGAGGAACAAGCCAGUAAGAAACAUACCCUUCCAUGGCCUCUGCUUUAGCUCCUGCUUUAGCUUAUUUGAGUUCCUGCCUUAACUCCCUUCAGUGAUGGACUACAUUGUGGAAGUGUUAACCAAAUAAACCUUUUCUUCCCCAAAUUGCUUUUGGCCAUGGUGUUUGAUCACAAGCAGUAGAAACACUAAGACAUGCUUGUGCCAGGAUAGUGGGGUAUUGCUGUGACAGACCUGACUUUGGAACUUGAGACUAGAAAUGCCAGCUCAGUGAAGUGUUGUGUAGGAGCUUGGGAGAUAAGAAUAUUGAGAGUGGUGCAGAUUAGGAAGGCCUGGCUUGUGAAGUUUCAGAGGGAAGCAAAGACUACUGAGCCAUUUGAGUUCAGACUUUUGUGGUUCUGGUUAGCUGGUGCAGAAGAAUCAGCUGUGAUUAACAAGAUCCCGGAACUACUAAAGUGAAAUCUUUGCUGAAAUACUCCAUUGUGGUUGGCUGGAGCUGAGAAAUUACCAGUGAUUGAGACCAGCAUUGUUGAGGUAAAAUCUUCUGGGGAGUGUUCCCUGAGAGCACACAGAAGCUGUGUUCUAGACCUGGCCAAGAUGGUAGCGAACCAGUUUUGGAGUUUCAAAGGCAUGAAGGCAUGGAGAGAAGCUGAGGCUCACCACUGGGAGAGGCCAUUGGUGAAGGUGAAGCAUCCACUGAUGCUUCAGCUCUCACUAGAGCUGAAGACCCAGGAUUGUGGGGUAUGCAGAGAAUUUGCAGCUUGACACUGUGAGGAGAGCCUAGGAGAGGCUAUUGGUGAAAUUGCAGCCCGAUCAAAGCAGAAGACCCAGCAUUUUGGAGAUGACCACCAAGAACAGCAGUAGCUAUGGAGUGGAGUCAUUUAGAAUCUAGAAGACAAACUAUGUGUGCUGCAGAGGACAGAGCAGGAAAAACAAUCCAAGCCCUUUAGAGGAGCUCAGAUGAUCAUGAGGGUCCCAGACAUUGGACAGUGUGUUGUUCACAUUGUUGGAGGUUUGGUUUUGCUUUGUUCAGACUGUGACUGUGCCCUGGUUCUUCCCUCUUGAAGCAAUAAAGUACUUAAUUUAUUUUUUAUUUUACAGGAGCCCACAGUUGGGACUUUAAACUUAAAUAUAUAUAUUUUAAAAAAAGACAGAAAAAGAUAUUUUGGAGUUUUACAGAAAAUUUGGAUUUCAAAAGACGAUAUUUUUAAAGGGACUGAAAUUUUAAUGUUUGAAUUUGUAAAGACUGGAACUUUUUAAAAAAAAGAUUGUUAUUUAUUAUGUAUAUAGUCUUCUGCCUGCAGGCCAGCAGAGGGCACCAGAUCUCACUCAAGGUAGUUGUAAGCCACCAUGUGGUUGCCGGGAAUUGAACUCAGGACCUCAGGAAGAACAGUUGGUGCUCUUAACCACUGAGCUAUCUCUCCGGCCCAAGACUGGAACUUUUAAAUUUUUAAGAUUUUAUUUAUUCUGUAUACAACGUUGUGCUUCCAUGUAUAUCUGCACACCAGAAGAGGGCACCAGAUCUCAUAACGAUGGUUGUGAGCCACCAUGUGGUUGCUGGGAAUUAAACUCAGGACCUCUGGAAGAGCAGUCGGUGCUCUUGACCUCUGAGCCAUCUCUCCAGCACAAGUUAUUAAUAUUUUUAAUGUGAGGUCUUGGGGAUGAAUAAGGAAGGAAAGGUUGUGAGUUAAUAAUGAUGUGUUUUGUGUGACAAAUUGAGAAGGGGCCAGCUGUGCCUCAUAGUUUUAUGCCAGCUUGACACAAUCUAAAGUCAUGUCAAAGGACUGUCAGCUGAGAAAUGCCUCCAUAAGAUAAGGCUGUAGCUGGGCAGUAGGGUCCCAGUGCUAGCAAGGCAGAGGCAAGAGGAUCUCUGUGAGUUUGAGGCCAGCCAGGUCUACAGAGAGAGUUCUGGAACAGCCAGGAAUACAUAGAGAAACCCUGUCUCAAGAGAGAGAGUGGAGGAAGGGAGGGAGAAAGGCUAUAAGGCAUUUUCUUAAUUAGUGGCUAAUGUGUGAGGGCCCAGCCCAUUGUGGGUAGUGCCAUCCGUGGGAUGGCAGUCCUGGGUUCUAUAAGAAAAUGGGCUGAGGAGGCCAGUAGGCAGCACCCCUCCAUGGCCUCCACAUCAACUCCUGCCUCCAGGUUUCUACCUUGCUUGAGUUCCUGUCCUGAUUUCCUUCAGUGAUAGACUACAUUGCAUAAUUAUGAGCCAAAUAAACCCUGAAGUUGGUUUUUGGUCAUAGUGUUUCAUUGCAACAAUAGAAACCCUAACUAGGACAGGUCGGCUCAACUGCGCGUGGAGCAUGGAAGGACCGCCGCACUCACGUACCCCGCACUCACGUACCCGGCGGUCAUGGCGAUGUUGUAGAAGUAAUGGAAGUCUCCAAAGUAUACGGGGCAGCUGCUUCUCAGGGUUCCCACCGGAGAAAGCUUUGAAGUUCCGGGAGUGGCUAAUGGUCCCUUUGAUCCUCGUAGACUUCUUGCACUUCAAGGAGCUUUGGAGGAGAGCGGUUUUGCUUAUCACUGGGACCUAUUGUUAAGCAAAAGAAAAGCAACUUCCUAGAUUUGUCGAGGGGCGUAUAAAAGUGGGUUAAUGGCCGAAUUAAGCAGCGCCAGCCAGGCAGAUAUUGUGUGCGUCUGCGGAGGAAGCGUCCACCCGCCGCUCGCCAUUGUGCUUUGCCUCGGAGAUGCUUACAAUUAUGGAGGGGAUCCAGCAACAAAAGAAAAUAAAAGUCACCAGAAAUAGAUGAAAAGUACCAUUGUGUUCAGGAGCAUGGACGGUGCGCAUUUCAGAACGUCCCGUUUUCUGCCCUGAGAAGAGGAGCUAGGUGUGCUAGUGGGUAUCAACCAUGUUGUUAGUCUGAGCAAUCUCCCGCUUUG
ensembl:lncRNA